rnacentral:rRNA from 1 species
GCCCAGACUCCUACGGGAGGCAGCAGUGGGGAAUAUUGCACAAUGGGGGAAACCCUGAUGCAGCAACGCCGCGUGAAGGAAGACGGUUUUCGGAUUGUAAACUUCUGUUCUUAGUGAAGAAGAAUGACGGUAGCUAAGGAGCAAGCCACGGCUAACUACGUGCCAGCAGCCGCGGUAAUACGUAGGGGACGAGCGUUAUCCGGAUUUACUGGGUGUAAAGGGAGCGUAGACGGUUCUGCAAGUCUGAAGUGAACGCCCGUGGCUUAACCGCGGAACGGCUUUGGAAACUGUGGAACUGGAGUGCAGGAGAGGCAAGCGGAAUUCCUAGCGUAGCGGUGAAAUGCGUAGAUAUUAGGAGGAACACCAGUGGCGAAGGCGGCUUGCUGGACAGUAACUGACGUUGAGGCUCGAAAGCGUGGGGAGCAAA